rnacentral:lncRNA from 1 species
AGAGUAGUGGUGUUUAAUUGUCUUGAGGAAAAGAACUCUCUCAGUCUGGCAUUGGGGUCUGCAAGAGGACCCUCUGGGAGUCUUUUGGACUACUUAACAAACAAACUGCAACCAAUGGCAUCAACCACCAAUCUACCAACCUGUGCCUCCUGCAUCAAGGCCAUAACAUUUAUAUAUCUAUAAAUAAAACUAUUAUUCAUCUG